rnacentral:ribozyme from 1 species
AAAAAGAAGAAAGCAAAAGAGGAGACCAUGACCGAAGACUAAGUGGAAUUUGUUUUGUUUGUUGUUUUUGUUUUGUUAGUUUCCCUUGGGAGAAUCACUUCGUUUUCUGCGCUUUUAAUUUUUCGAGAUCUUGGAUUCUCAAGGAGAAGGAACUACUCCGACGAUUUGAGAAUGAAUAAUGACACUCUCGAAAUAUUUUCUUUCGGCUAUUAUUUUUUUCGGGUUCUUUGAGAAUAAA